UACGAAGGGUGCAAGCGUUACUCGGAAUCACUGGGCGUAAAGCGUGCGUAGGCGGUUCGUUAAGUCUGCUGUGAAAGCCCUGGGCUCAACCUGGGAACUGCAGUGGAUACUGGCGAGCUAGAGUGUGAUAGAGGAUGGUGGAAUUCCCGGUGUAGCGGUGAAAUACGUAGAUAUCGAGAGGAACACCUGCGGCGAAGGCGGGUUGCUGGGCCGACACUGACGCUGAUGCGCGAAAGCCAGGGGAGCGAACGGG
rnacentral:rRNA from 1 species